rnacentral:rRNA from 1 species
GGAGUCUGGACCGUGUCUCAGUUCCAAUGUGGCCGUUCAUCCUCUCAGACCGGCUACUGAUCGUCGCCUUGGUAGGCCGUUACCCCACCAACCAGCUAAUCAGACGCAGACCCAUCGCAAAGCGAUAGCUUACAAGUAGAGGCCAUCUUUAAUAUCUCUCCCAUGCGGAAAAGAUACAACAUUCGGUAUUAGCACCCCUUUCGGGAUGUUGUCCCCAUCUUUGCGGCAGGUUGUCUACGCGUUACUCACCCGUUUGCCACUCGACUCAUCUAAGCAAGCUUAAAAUCGUCUCGUUCGACUUGCAUGUGUUAAGCACGCCGCCAGCGUUCGUCCUGAGCCAUGAUCAAACUACU